UAAUGAGGACGACAGGAAAGGCUACCUGCACGCUUUGUCACAAAGAGCUUAUGCUCCUAAAAGUGACAGAGUUAGAAGUUAUGGAGGAAAUUAUCGCCCUCCCCUCUUUU
rfam:Bacillus atrophaeus 1942, complete genome.